AUUUUUGUGGAGCAGUUUCUCCAGUUCGUUAUUUUUCUCUCGCCCCACUGAUUCUUUUAAAACUUUACAUCCUGGUUCAGGUAAGGGGCGGGUUCAUUUAUUAACUUCCGCUGUACCGGUAGGGUGGAACAAAGUCAUAUCUCUUCCUUUAGCUAGAUAAUUUAGUAGCUAGUUAGCUAGUUUUAUCUUCUUUUGGGUUUAGCUAACACAUUUGCUGUGGCUUGUUAACUUGAGACAUCUGUGGCAUUUGUGUUACUUGGCAAAUAUAAACGUGGCUUAGUUUACCUGUCGAAACUUGUUUACCACUGGCUAUGUAAAUAGUUAACCCAUGCUGAUGGCUUGCUGACUGACAGAAGGACAAUUUGUGUAUUUCUCACAAAUAUUUGAACCUAUACUUUUAGUGUUGUAUUGUGAAGUGUUGCAAAAGGGCUGUAUUGUGAUGAUGCUUAGCCAACUUGAUGGACCCAGCUCAAAAGCAGUACGGCCUUGUACUCCGUAGUAAUGGAGGCGAUCACUAAUUGUUCUUCAUAGGCCUUUUAUUCGAUACAUUAUCAUCUGCCUAAAGAUGAUUAGAAUUGUUGUUAUGAGCUUUGUUUUUCAUGUAAACUUGCCCUGCUUCCUCACAGGCUGCAUCACAAAGAUACUCUGAGACAGAGUUAGGACAAUGUAUGAAAAUGUCCCAACAGUCUCCACAGUGGAGCGCCAGCAGGUAUUGCAGGCUUUGGAGCGGCUGCAGGCCAAGAUGGCCCAGAGGGAGGAGUGGACCCACAGUGAGAGGCUGGGGGUGCUGAGGGAUGCUCUACAGAGCCCACUGCUAGGACACAUCCUCACACUGCAGCAUUCAAUCAAACAACUCAAAGACCAGCUGAACUGCAUGCCUCCAGACACCUGCAGUGAUUUCAGCUUCUCUAGGAAGGGCCAGAUGAUCGUCAGUGCCAGCCGCCCAGCCAGCAGCCUGUGCACGUCCAGCCCCGGCACUGUGUUGUCCAACGGCUCGGCCCUUGCCUCCCCCGACCAGCUCCAGAGAUGGUUCUGCACCUCCGCUAAGGGGAGGCAGACAGAGCACAUCAGCCUGCCUAAGCCCUUGUCUGGGGGCCUGGGCUUCAGUGUGGUGAGCCUAAGGGCCGAAGGGACAGGGGACCACGGGGUCUUCAUCAGACACGUCCAGCCUAGGAGCAUCGCACACAGGGAUGGGCGCAUACAGGAGAACGACCAGAUCCUGGUGAUCAACGGGACGCCCCUGGACCAGAGUGUCACCCAGCAUCAGGCCAUCGCUCUCCUGCAGCAGCCUGGGGACGGUGGAUCUAGUGGUGGCCAGGGAUCCUGCCACCAUCACACAGCAUACACACACCCUCCCGCCCCAACUCCCGCCUGGGCCCUGUCACAAGCCUCCAGGAGCAGUGGGGCCAAAUGGAGGAGAUUGAGCUGCUGAACGACGGCUCGGGCCUGGGCUUUGGGAUUGUUGGAGGCAAGGCCACUGGGGUGGUGGUGCGGACUCUGGUUCCAAACAGUGUGGCUGACAAGGAUGGGCGCCUGCAUACAGGUGACCACAUCCUGCGUAUUGGUGAGACCCCCACAGAUGGCUUGACCAGCGACCAGGUGGUCAAGGUGCUGCAGGGCUGCGGGAGCCACGUGCGCAUGCUCAUCGCCCGUAACCCCUCGGGACAGUACUCCACCUCCCCGCCGCCCCCUCCC